rnacentral:rRNA from 1 species
CAGUAGCCGCGGGAAUACAGAGGGUGCGAGCGUUAAUCGGAUUUACUGGGCGUAAAGCGUGCGUAGGCGGCUUCUUAAGUCGGAUGUGAAAUCCCUGAGCUUAACUUAGGAAUUGCAUUCGAUACUGGGAAGCUAGAGUAUGGGAGAGGAUGGUAGAAUUUCAGGUGUAGCGGUGAAAUGCGUAGAGAUCUGGAGGAAUACCGAUGGCGAAGGCAGCCAUCUGGCCUAAUACUGACGCUGAGGUACGAAAGCAUGGGGAGCAAACAGGAUUAGAUACCCCGGUAGUCCCUGUCUCUUAUAC